UAGCGGAGGAAAAGAAACCAACAGGGAUUGCCCCAGUAACGGCGAGUGAAGCGGCAACAGCUCAAAUUUGAAAUCUGGCCCCAGGCCCGAGUUGUAAUUUGCAGAGGAUGCUUUUGGCGCGGUGCCUUCCGAGUUCCCUGGAACGGGACGCCAUAGAGGGUGAGAGCCCCGUACGGUUGGACACCAAGCCUUUGUAAAGCUCCUUCGACGAGUCGAGUAGUUUGGGAAUGCUGCUCUAAAUGGGAGGUACAUUUCUUCUAAAGCUAAAUAUUGGCCAGAGACCGAUAGCGCACAAGUAGAGUGAUCGAAAGAUGAAAAGCACUUUGAAAAGAGGGUUAAACAGCACGUGAAAUUGUUAAAAGGGAAGCGCUUGUGACCAGACUUGCGUCCGGUGAAUCACCCAGCUCUCGCGGCUGGGGCACUUCGCCGGCACAGGCCAGCAUCAGCUUGCCGUCGGGGACAAAAGCUUCAGGAACGUGGCUCCUCUCGGGGAGUGUUAUAGCCUGUUGCAUAAUACCCUUCGGCGGGCUGAGGUACGCGCUCCGCAAGGAUGCUGGCGUAAUGGUCAUCAGCGACCCGUCUUGAAACACGGACCAAGGAGUCAACCUUAUGUGCGAGUGUUUGGGUGUCAAACCCCUACGCGUAAUGAAAGUGAACGCAGGUGAGAGCUUCGGCGCAUCAUCGACCGAUCCUGAUGUUCUCGGAUGGAUUUGAGUAAGAGCAUAUAGGGUUGGACCCGAAAGAAGGUGAACUAUGCGUGUGUAGGGUGAAGCCAGAGGAAACUCUGGUGGAGGCUCGCAGCGGUUCUGACGUGCAAAUCGAUCGUCAAACAUGCGCAUGGGGGCGAA
rnacentral:rRNA from 1 species